CGGGGUGUAGCGCAGUUGGCUAGCGUACCACGUUCGGGACGUGGGGGUCGGAAGUUCGAGUCUUCUCACCCCGA
rnacentral:tRNA from 2 species